rnacentral:lncRNA from 1 species
UUCACUAAACUAGUAGUGUUGUUAAUUUGUUAUGAGACUAGCAGUCCAGCACACGAUACCUUUUUAUUUGUAAUUAUACAAGAUUUUCUUGUACUAAAAUUGUCUUGUAUUUGCAUUUCAGCUUCCACGCCUAUGCCAUCCCUUCCUAUAGACAUAGAGAUUUUAGAUGUGAUAUCUACUUCUUCGGAUGUCAUAGAAGAUAUAUCAAGUGAUCCAGACGACAUGCCACAUGAUUUCUAGUUUAUGUAUCAUGUGUUUCAGACUUAUAUAUUACAUGGUUAAAACUUCAGUGAACAUGUAUGAUCAUUUAUGUGUGGUCAAGACUCAAGACUAUGUAUUGUGUAUUUGUGUGGUUGAGACUUGUAUGUGGAUGUGAAUGAACAAUCGUGUUUUAAUACUUAUGUAUUGUGUGUUAAAAUUUGAGUGGACAUGUAUAAGUGUAUGGCCAAUUAUAUGUGGACAAGAUUAUGUUUUGUGUACUUUUGUGAAUGAGACUUGUUUGUGGUUGUGAAUGAACAAUUGUGUGGUUAGGAUUUGUUUAUUGUGAGCUUUUCCGAUUACAAUUACCGCUUCCCGAUCAAUUCCGAGCUAUUUUGCUCGGAUUUAUCUGUUUUUGAUAUACCGGAAUUUACCGGUCGUUAUCCGUUUCCGACUUUCCCGUUUACCGAUUCCGGCCGAAUAAAAAAUUAUGCGGGUGAAAACGGAGAGAGUUUUUUUCCGAUCGUUACCGACCGUUUUCACCCUUAAUCCCCACCAUUGAUCGAAGGAUCAAUGGCAACUGCUCAUCUUCUUCCCUACCAUGACACCUAACGCCGCAAUGCCCCAGCGGCCGUGGUGUGCAUCGACGUGCCCCAAAACCGGUGACCCCCACCCAAUCCGACUACUACAAUGUGUAAACGAGGGCGGAGCUCAUGGUGAGUAAGGUUAGCGGCGUCUUACCGGCUAUGGAGUCGACGACGUGGUUGACCACGUCAGAUGGCGGAUCCGUAGCCACCGCAUCAGACCGCCGAGCAAAUUCGGACAAGUCCACCCAUCACCUUGCUCCUGGGAGUUACCUCUAGGUUCGCUGCACACCACCGGUAGUCCCUCGCCCUCCUCCCGAGGCCGGACCGUCAGCCAGGGUAGGAUCCGACCGCGACGGCGACGAGCUCGACUUGCAGCUGCCCGGCGGCGAACCACGGACUCCAUAGGAAACAAACCCAAUACCCCGAUGAACUUCUACGCUCAUCAGCGAACCUCUCUGGCAGGCCCUGGCGCCGCGACCUUCGCUCCACAUGAUCCGACGAACUCCCCCUUUCUCUCUCCUCCCCUUUCUCUCUCCUCGAGUGCGGCCCUGGCGCCGCGACCUUCGCUCCACAUGAUCCGACGAACUCCCCCUUUCUCUCUCCUCGAGUGCGGCGGCGGAUCUCCCCUGUUGGUUUCCUGCGCUCACCCUCUCUCUCCAAUGGCCACGGCACACCAUGGGCGAACGCGCUGCCUUACUUCUGGUUGACCAGGGCGGUGAGUUCCAGGGCCAUGAGCGUUCC